rnacentral:tRNA from 1 species
GCCCUAGUUAAGGCACUUAACGGCCCUCCGGAGGCAGGUGUCGCAGGUUCGAAUCCUGCCGAGGGCA